rnacentral:rRNA from 1 species
GCAAAUCCCCAAAAAGUAGUCCCAGUUCGGACUGCAGUCUGCAACUCGACUGCACGAAGUCGGAAUUGCUAGUAAUCGCGGAUCAGCAUGCCGCGGUGAAUACGUUCCCGGGCCUUGUACACACCGCCCGUCACACCAUGAGAGUCGGGAACACCCGAAGUCCGUAGUCUAACCGCAAGGAGGACGCGGCCGAAGGUGGGCUUGAGUAAUUGGGGUGAAGUCGUAACAAGGUACC